rnacentral:rRNA from 1 species
AGCGAACGCUGGCGGCAGGCCUAACACAUGCAAGUCGAACGAACUCUUCGGAGUUAGUGGCGGACGGGUGAGUAACACGUGGGAACGUGCCUUUAGGUUCGGAAUAACUCAGGGAAACUUGUGCUAAUACCGAAUGUGCCCUUCGGGGGAAAGAUUUAUCGCCUUUAGAGCGGCCCGCGUCUGAUUAGCUAGUUGGUGAGGUAAAGGCUCACCAAGGCGACGAUCAGUAGCUGGUCUGAGAGGAUGAUCAGCCACAUUGGGACUGAGACACGGCCCAAACGACUGCGGGAGGCAGCAGGGGGGAAUAAUUGGAAAUGGGCGAAUGCUUGAAGCAUCCGGUCCGGGGGAAUGAUAAAGGUCUUAGGAGGGGAAAAUUCUUUGACUAGUGACGAGAAUGAGGGGACCAAAAGAAGAAGACCGGGCUAAUUUGAU